rnacentral:tRNA from 1 species
GGACCCGUAGCUUAGUUGGUCUAAAGCGCCGCCCUGUCACGGCGGAGAUCGCCGGUUCGAGCCCGGUCGGGUCCG